AAUGGGCGCAAGCCUGAUCCAGCAAUGCCGCGUGUGUGAAGAAGGCCUGCGGGUUGUAAAGCACUUUCAGUGGGGAAGAACGGAUGCGGGCCAAUACCCCGGAUCACUGACGUUACCCACAGAAGAAGCACCGGCUAACUCCGUGCCAGCAGCCGCGGUAAUACGAAGGGUGCAAGCGUUAAUCGGAAUUACUGGGCGUAAAGCGUGCGUAGGCGGUUAAUUAAGUCAGAUGUGAAAGCCCCGGGCGUAACCUGGAACUGCAUUUGAUACUGGUUAACUAGAGUUGAGUAGAGGAGAGUGGAAUUUCAGGUGUAGCGGUGAAAUGCGUAGAUAUCUGAAGGAACACCAGUGGCGAAGGCGACUCUCUGGACUCAAACUGACGCUGAGGUACGAAAGCGUGGGUAGCAAA
rnacentral:rRNA from 1 species